ensembl:misc_RNA
UUUCCACAGAAACAGGAAUAAAAUGGAGAGUGAGGUGCAAGAUAGGCCCACGCUAUCCUGCCAAUAUGCCUCAACUCUGAACUGGAGGGACCACAACUUGGAGG